rnacentral:tRNA from 1 species
GCAAUCGUCGCCUAGCCUGGUAGGGCGCUGGCCUGGAAAGCCAGUGUGUUUACACACUCGUGGGUUCGAAUCCCUCCGAUUGCG